CAGGCACGGGGAAGAUGGUAAUCCGUUGGCUUUGGAAGCCUAAGAAACUCGGUUCGAUUCCGAGGUGCCUGACC
rnacentral:tRNA from 1 species